GGUGAACGCUGGCGGCGUGCCUAAUACAUGCAAGUCGAACGCUUCACUUCGGUGAAGAGUGGCGAACGGGUGAGUAAUACAUAAGUAACCUGGCAUCUACAGGGGGAUAACUGAUGGAAACGUCAGCUAAGACCGCAUAGGUGUAGAGAUCGCAUGAACUCUAUAUGAAAAGUGCUACAGGACUGGUAGAUGAUGGACUUAUGGCGCAUUAGCUGGUUGGUAGGGUAACGGCCUACCAAGGCGACGAUGCGUAGCCGACCUGAGAGGGUGACCGGCCACACUGGGACCGAGACACGGCCCAGACUCCUACGGGAGGCAGGAGUAGGGAAUUUUCGGCAAUGGGGGAAACCCUGACCGAGCAACGCCGCGUGAAGGAAGAAGUAAUUCGUUAUGUAAACUUCUGUCAUAGAGGAAGAACGGUGGAUAUAGGGAAUGAUAUCCAAGUGACGGUACUCUAUAAGAAAGCCACGGCUAACUACGUGCCAGCAGCCGCUGUAA
rnacentral:rRNA from 1 species